rnacentral:rRNA from 1 species
GACGAACGCUGGCGGCGUGCCUAAUACAUGCAAGUCGAACGAGAGCGACCGGUGCUUGCACUGGUCAAUCUAGUGGCGAACGGGUGAGUAACACGUGGGUAACCUGCCCAUCAGAGGGGGAUAACAUCCGGAAACGGAUGCUAACACCGCAUAGGUCUUCGAACCGCAUGGUUUGAAGAGGAAAAGAGGCGCAAGCUUCUGCUGAUGGAUGGACCCGCGGUGCAUUAGCUAGUUGGUGAGGUAACGGCUCACCAAGGCCGUGAUGCAUAGCCGACCUGAGAGGGUGAUCGGCCACAUUGGAACUGAGACACGGCCCAAACUCCUACGGGAGGCAGCAGUAGGGAAUCUUCCGCAAUGGACGCAAGUCUGACGGAGCAACGCCGCGUGAGUGAAGAAGGUUUUCGGAUCGUAAAACUCUGUUGUUAGAGAAGAACAAGUGCUAGAGUAACUGUUAGCGCCUUGACGGUAUCUAACCAGAAAGCCACGGCUAACUACGUG